rnacentral:rRNA from 1 species
AUACGGAGGAUCCGAGCGUUAUCCGGAUUUAUUGGGUUUAAAGGGUGCGCAGGCGGCCAUUUAAGUCAGCGGUUAAAUCGUGGGGCUCAACCCCGUUCUGCCGUUGAUACUGGGUGGCUUGAUUGCGGUCGAGGUUGGCGGAAUUCGUUGUGUAGCGGUGAAAUGCAUAGAUAUGACGAAGAACACCGAUUGCGUAGGCAGCUGACCAGAUCGCAAAUGACGCUCAUGCGCGAAAGUGCGGGGAUCGAACAGGAUUAGAUACCCUGGUAGUCCGCACAGUAAACGAUGAAUACUUGUUUUCGGCGAUAUAAUGUCGGAGGCAAAGCGAAAGCGAUAAGUAUUCCACCUGGGGAGUACGCCGGCAACGGUGAAACUUAAAGGAAUUGACGGGG